CACUCACAAGCCACAACCAGAGAGAGACGCACCUGGCUGCAGGCACCCGCCUGCGGAUGUAUGGAAGGCCUGGAAAACUACAGUGACUCAAAGACACGGCCUCCUUGCCCCAUGCACACCAAGCCUUGACAGACAGACCCACCUGGAAAACUCCCACUGACCAUCAGCCACCCCAGCCCACAGCCGCACACCCAGCCAACACGUGUAAGCCAGGCAAGAUGGUCUUGGGUCCCGCACGUCCACCGCGCCCAACCCCCACGGAUGAGCAUCAGGUCACGCCACCCGUUGGCCUCCAGCUGAAGCUUCAGGCCCAGGGAGCAGCCCUGCCCUGAUCCAGAAGCCAUCCAGGCAAGAACAAGAGAUUCAUCUCAGAGCCCCAGCCCUGGGGAAAGCCUGCAGGCCGCCGUCCCCUCCAGGCACAUCCAGCCACUGAGGGUCCCACAUGCCAGAUCACUGGGCCACAUGGCCUCCGCUCCCCGGCGAGGGGACCUGCCCCACCACAGAGCAGGAUGCUGGGCAAGGAUGAGCUGCACUGUGGGUACAGGAGGGGGGGCCACCCCUUAUCCUCGCUGCUCCCAGGCAGCAGCCUGAGGACACGAACGAGGCAGCCACUCCCCUUAGGCCCGAGCCAUGAUGGCUCUGGAAAGGCAAGUGUCUGAUUUUCAAGAAACACUCUUCAGAGAGGUUGUGGGCAAGGGUUUUAUGAAUUUCACUCACAAACGUCGUCAACCGAUUAAGGGAUGAUCUAUCUCAAGCAACUCGGGAAUGCCGCAGAAGGCAAAAUUGAAAUUAAAUAAGCAGAAUCCAUCUCCCAUCCUAGACAGAGCAAGCAAGCUCGCAGGCCACCACUGCCAGUGUGGCCUCAUGGCUGCGGCCCCCACAAGGCCCCAAGUUCACAAGUGCCUGCCCCAGGCCUCAGCCUCUGCUGGGCAGAGGGAAUGAAGUCUCAACGGCCAUCUGUACCCCAGACUCCCCGAAUUCUGACCUGGACUCUCUAUCCACCUCCGGCAUCUGCUCCUAGAGGGAGCACUCCUGCCCCGAUGGAGGGCUCCGCCCCAGCCUGCACCAAGCUGCCACAUGCUACGAAUCCGCCAUGCCGAGCCAGCACGCCAGCGCCGAAGCGGAAUGACAAGAAAGCUUCCCAGAGAUGAUCCCUUGGUGUCUGGGGGAUUAAUUAACUCCUCUUGUUUUUUUUUUAAAUGUAUAAAACAAGGGCGAUGCCCCGCA